rnacentral:snRNA from 1 species
UGCAGUGGACCCAGAGCAUUUGUCUCCUUCCUCUCUCACUUCUCAAUGUGUGUCCCUCCCAAAAAUGCGUGCAAAUUGAAGAGGAUGGACUUCCUUGAUAGAGAUGUCCCAUUCAUUGGUCAGGGGUGUAAGGCAGCUGUGCUCCACUGCUUGAAUCCCCAAACAAUCUCAAAGUUCUUUUAUAAAAAAAUGUAAGGUAGAAGAGUGGUGAUGAACU